rnacentral:rRNA from 1 species
AUUGAACGCUGGCGGCAGGCCUAACACAUGCAAGUCGAGCGGAUGAAGGGAGCUUGCUCCUGGAUUCAGCGGCGGACGGGUGAGUAAUGCCUAGGAAUCUGCCUGGUAGUGGGGGAUAACGUCCGGAAACGGGCGCUAAUACCGCAUACGUCCUGAUGGAGAAAGUCGGGGAUCUUCGGACCUCACGCUAUCAGAUGAGCCUAGGUCGGAUUAGCUAGUUGGUGGGGUAAAGGCCUACCAAGGCGACGAUCCGUAACUGGUCUGAGAGGAUGAUCAGUCACACUGGAACUGAGACACGGUCCAGACUCCUACGGGAGGCAGCAGUAGGGAAUAUUGGACAAUGGGCGAAAGCCUGAUCCAGCCAUGCCGCGUGAGUGAAGAAGGUCUUCGGAUUGUAAAGCACUUUAAGUUGGGAGGAAGGGCAGUAAGUUAAUACCUUGCUGUUUUGACGUUACCAACAGAAUAAGCACCGGCUAACUUCGUG